CAUGGGCUCUGCCACAUAGUGAGACUUUCUCAGGAGGUCAGGUUGGGAUUGAGGAGAGUCAUUUUCAAGGACUGCCCUGGGAUUGUUUUGCCCUGGGUGACAGCAGUGAGCUACCAGGUGCCCUUGGGUAGCCAAAGGACAGCUUAUAGCACCUUGCUGGAGUGGCAUCUGGUGGCAGUGAGAGCACCCAUAUGAUCCCCUCAAAGAGACCAUGUGGAAAGGGAUGUGGGCUCCUGCUGCAGACCUCAGACCUCCAGCCACAAGAACAAGUACAGGGGUUGUCUGUGCAGCUGUUUUCCAAACUAGUCUGUUGUCUCCGUAGGGCACGCCGGUCCUGUACUUAAUACAUGUAUCUGAAGGGAAAGUUGCUUUUUAUUGGAGAAACCUGCCCUCACAAGAUAAACACUGCUGACUUUUUUCUUCUCUUUCAUGUCAAGCACAAGAGCCUGCAGUGGUCACAAGAUCAGUUCAGCAACUCAAGCAGCUUGUUGCUUUGUUUGUAAAAGUCCAAUUUUCUUUUUGAGGAAAAUCAAUACAGCUCAUUACUUACCCGAGAAAAGAUCCCUAUGUCAAGCAGCUCCUCAUUCCACUGGAAGGCAGCCCCUGGGAGGGUUCAACCACUUUUCCUAGGAUGGACAACCGGCUGAUAGCCUUUGUCUUAAAUUAUCCCUCCUGAACCCAAACUGCCCCACUGAGAAGACCGAUCAGCUUCCCACAGGCUGCUGAAGAGCUGCUCCACAAGUGAACACCACCCACGUCGAGCAAAAUACAUGCUGGAAGAAAAACAAAGCAAGACUUUUUUUACAGCUGACAUAAUGACUGUUCAGAUCAAGAAGUGCUGAAGUACUGCCUCUGCCUCACCAGGUUUACAGGCCCAAGGUACCAUAAAAUGAGAGAUACCUGGAGCAAACUGCUUCUCUUGGACUUCAGCCCAUGAACCCACCUACGAUCUGAUUCAAGUGCAAUCAUAAAGGCUAAUGAUGCUCCACUGUCUUGAAUUAUAUCUACAUUGCGCAGUGUAGCGGAGACCUAUCAAACUAAACGUAAGUGAAUUUAGUCAGCACAAUAAGCAGUUUAGCUAAGCUACCGUGGGGCUGCUAAAGGGUAAUUUACCCCUUCUAGAAACAGAUCAGCAGAGACAAAUCUUAACGAAAAAGAAAAAAAAAAAAAAAAAAAAAAGUGAAGAGAAGGCUCUUGUUAUAUAGUUGCAAUUUUUGUAGUCCUAGAGUGAAAAAGAUACUUUACAUCUGAAUUUAAUCAGCAGGUAGUAUUCACUGUAGACGUGGUAGUUCGAUCCAUGGGCAAUGAAUACGUUCAGUCUGAUACUGGAAAUAGAAGUAUUUUGUUUUAGGGGCAGGGAGACUUAGAGCAGCUUUGUCUGAGGAAAUCCUCAUGUGUGAGAAGUGCUGAGCUGGAUAGGAGCCAGCAUGCAACCAGUUUGUGGGAGGAGCUGAUUGAGGUCAUGGCUGCAAAAGCAAGCGAGCGCUGUUGAACAUCCUGAGAGCUACCUGGGAUGAAGGAUAACCAAGUGGUCAGGCAUUCCAGGCGGUGAAGGAACCUAUCUCAUCCUUUCUCAUUUCAUUAGUAUUCCCCAGGAUUCCUCCACCUGUCAUAGUCUGCAUUUGACAUGGAAGGAUAAAAUCAUCCUCAUCGCUUCCCCCCCUGCUCUGAGAACUGCUUGUGCUUUGUUUAAUUAAAAUAUGCUGUGGUUGAUUUCAGGAUGAAUUAAUACUAGGAUUAAUCCAAAGCUACUGCUUGAAGAACAUAUUGUGGCACUUUUGACCAGAUGCUUAAGGUGACACAGGUCUCAGGUGUGACAUCUGGGCUUGAAGAAAAAGUGGCAGAAUUGUCCCCAUGUGCAUUAUCCUGCCAUUGGACGAGUCAGUGCCUUGUCUUCAUUUAAAUGGUCCUUGGAAGAAAGCAAAGCUUAAACACUGAGCAGCUUAUGGAUCAGUGUGCAAUGGACAUCUCUGGGUUUUAGGAAGUUCUUCUCCAAGACUAAAAAGACUGUGAAGCUGAGAACCAAAGAGCAAAACACUGACUCGCUGCUGCCUAAAUUAUAAGCUGGAAGUCCAAGAGCAGAAAUGCCACAAAUACAACAAAACUCCUUUGCCAGGCAACUUGGCAUCAUGAGAAGCAGACAACACUGCUUUUCUCCAGAUGAUACAGACAAACGGACAGCUUGAUGAAAGCAAUAGAUAAGGGACCAUAGUUUAGUGUUGUUACAGUCUGCUUUAUCCUUCAGCAAUGGCAAAAGCUAUGUUUGGUCAUGAAAUGAGGACUUGUCACCACAUUCCAAGUGCUGACUGCAAUUGUGGAUGCAGUAGAUCUCUUGCUAGGACAUGUGGUGAGAGAUUUCCAUGUAAAGAUUCCUUCUUGUCUUAUGCCCUGAGCCAAGGAAAAUAGAAUGCUCGGGCAAGGAAAUCUCCCAACAGAAAGAAAUGUGUCCAUGAAUGAGUGGUCAUGAAUGUAUGCCGGCCCUUCACAUGGGUGGGGGAACUGAAAAUGGGCACUGGACAUAGCCCUGCCCUUUAAGUGGCUAUUUUUAAUCCCGUCUCUAAGCAGAAGAUGGAGGAAGCUCUAACAACCUCCCUUGAGUGCAGGAAGAAAGAAGGGAAAGGAAGAGAGGAUAGAAAGACAGAAAGAAACAAGGAAGGGCAGAAAGAGAGCAGUCUUUAAAGAAAGGUUUCCAUCAAUCCCUGUAUUAGUGGAACAGCAUAGUCAAGUGCAAAAGUCAUGAUGAGAAUUCCUUACUCCUAGCAAACUAUGGCAAUUAAUUCUCUCUGCAAGCAGUACCUUAUAGCAGUGUCCAGCUUGUGGCUACAGCUCUGCAUGCUGGAAUGCAGAGAAGAGACAUAAUAGGGUACAAAUACUUGCCUUAUAGAUGUGGAGGAAAUUGAAGAAGAUAAAAUUUCCCCAUGGAUAGUGCCAUGGGAAAGAAAACAGUUAAGUGGAAAAGGGGAAACAACAAAUUGUUGGCAGAGAUGAAUCCUCCUGGCACCAAAGUUCAGUGCUGCAUCCACAGGAGAAAACACCUCUUCCAAACAUGACAGAUACUCUCCAUCUCUUGUUUCAUAGCUUAUCCUCCCUGUGUUGCCACAGGAAAUCUCAGUCAUAAAGCACUUUAUUAGCUCAGUCCUUAAAUGCUCCAGGAAGGAAUCAACCUGGCUGAGCAAUCUCUACUAUACUGAAAUAGCCCAAGAAAUGCUGAGUCUGGUUUAGACCAAUAACUCUGUAAGGUUUUUCUCACUACUACAAAGAAGGAUGCUGGUAUUUAUGUAACAACCUAAAAAAGUGGAUUUUCUCACCAUGUUUUUUUAUCCUUUGUAUUUAGGGCCAUUCCAACUGGUUUCCUAGGGAAAAAAAAAAAGAAAAGAAAAUACCCAACAGAUAGCAAACCUAGUCUCUCAAAUCCCUCCACACUCUAGGAGACCAUACUGCCUGCCUUGUGGCUCAGGGUCUUCAGACCAAAUCAAGGAUCAGAAUCUAGAUUUCAAUAACAAAGGAUCUUCAAAAGGAAUGCCUGAUCUUUCACUCUGAUGCUCAGGGAAAUCCACUUAAGGGCCCUGCUACUCUCAGCUCUGGCUAUUGAGGCUGAGAGAGGACUGCUCUCUCACAGUGCACCCUUUAGCCACUCUUGAUCAAAGCCUGGAUCAAAGCCCGGCAGCUGGUAUCCAUCCAGAAGCAAACAAACAAAUGCAGGUGAAGAAAUGAGGUUCUGAAAUUUGCCCGUGGGUAGCCAACGUCCUAUAUCAACACUGUGAUUAUUCUCAGCCAUUAAAUAAAAACUGAGAGGAUAAAUCCCAAAUAUAAGAAAUUAAAAUCAAUAAACUCACCGAGUUCUCCAUGUCACAGUUCAGACUCAUAAAGAGAUAGAACCACUAAAUCCCUCCAGUGCUACUCUUUCACAAUUGCACACAUUAAGAAAGAGGAGGAAAGAGUUAUAUGAAACAUUUGGCUGGGUAUAGGAAUCAGUUAUCUUAAUGAUGCAAUAUCAAAAGGAAAUAUUGUCUCAUUUAGAGAUCUACCAGCUACAGUCACUACAAUACUCCCCAAAGGCUGGUAACUAUUCUCACAGAUGCCGAGAAAUUAAGAAUUAUACUCUCACUACGUUUAAUAUCCUAGCUGUACUUCCAGGGAUCAUCUAUCUUAGUAAAGCUUUGGGGAUCUAAUUCAAUUGCUUUCUAUCUGCCAUUGCUGAUUUAUAAAACAUGCGUCCUUCUAACGAUACUGUGUUCCAGUGGAUCUCCCAGAAGCUAGAAGAAGAACUGAAGUUAUUCUCUCUCCUGAACAAUGAACAAGACUGAGCUGAUCUGCUCACCAUCCCUCUAUGACUGUGUCCUGUCCUUAACUGUCCUGUUUCCCAAAGAAAGGCAUGCUGAAAAAAAUGCACCUGCCCGUGCUGAUCGAGCCAUGCAGUAGGACAGAAACGUACUUGCCUUUAAUACUUUGAGCUGAUUGUUCUGCUAAAAUGGACAGCUAGCACAUCUAGCAACAUCUGCCAUGUGAGAUAUCCUUGUGCAAACAAAGAAUAAUUUAUACUAGAUUACUAACAAUUAACAUUGAUGGGGCAACUCUACCAGGAAUCCCAGAGUAACAUCCGAUUGAUAAGCUAUGCAAAGACAGCUGAAAUGCAGCCUUUCCUCAGCUGAGACAUCAUAGUGCUUGGGAACAUCAUGUGCAUGUGCUUAUGAUAGAGGUAAAAUAUCAGCAUUUGAGGUUAGGGAAAAAAAGAGACAAUGCAAAACUACUCAGCGCAAUUCCUGAAGCAUUUCAAGGUGCUCAUGCAUGGGAGUGAGCCCAAGGAUGUGGCACUACGGGAGAUGGCUGCAUGGGAAGGUAGGAUCUC